CUGACUCUUCGUAUAGUUUGAAAUGAGAACGAUAUCAUUUCUUUGAAUAUUUAACAAGGAGGUACAGAUUUAUGACACAAGAUAUCGUAGAAACAGUAACUAAAUUUGUUAAAUUAAUCGCAGAAACAGUUAAGAAAUUCACUAAGUAAGCAUUGAUAAUCCCUAUUAAGACUGUAAUAUUGCUCAGUCGCAAGUCAAGUGUCAUUACAUUUGCUUAAGCAACAGCAAACAAGUAUUAACAUGUAAGCUAUCGUAACAUCAUUCAAUUUAUCAUUAUAAUAAUCGGUAAAUUCACUAAAUUUUUUCAUAAUUAAUAACAUCCCCAAAAAAUAGAUAAAGAAAAAUAACUGUAAAACAUUCCCUUAAUAAUCAAGCCGUGAGUCCCUCCCAAGCUCACGGCUUU
rnacentral:ncRNA from 1 species